rnacentral:rRNA from 1 species
GAUGAACGCUAGCGGCAGGCCUAAUACAUGCAAGACGAACGGUAAGUUUGAUAGCAAUAUUGAACCAAGAGUGUCGUAAGGGUGCGUAACACGUAUGCAAUCUGCCCUCAACAGGAGUAUAGCUCGGGGAAACUCGAAUUAACCCUCCAUAAGAUUGUGGUGUGGCAUCACACAGCAAUUAAAACCACGGUGGUUGAGGAUGAGCAUGCGCAUGAUUAGUUAGUUGGCGGGGUAACGGCCCACCAAGACGAUGAUCAUUAGGGGAACUGAGAGGUUGAUCCCCCACACUGGCACUGAGAUACGGGCCAGACUCCUACGGGAGGCAGCAGUAGGGAAUAUUGGACAAUGGGUGAGAGCCUGAUCCAGCCAUGCCGCGUGCAGGAAGAAGGCCUUCUGGGUUGUAAACUGCUUUUAUCUGGGGAUAAAAAGGCCUUGCGAGGCAAACUGAAGGUACCAGAUGAAUAAGCCACGGCUAACUACGUGCCAGCAGCCGCGGUAAAAC